AUUCCAGCUCCAAUAGCGUAUAUUAAAGUUGUUGCAGUUAAAAAGCUCGUAGUUGGACUUCUGAUUCGAAAGAUCGGUCCGCCGCAAGGCGAGCACUGAUUCUUCGAGUCUUCCUCUCGUAGUUGUUUGGCGCACUUGAUUGGGUGCCAGAUGAAUAUGGGACCUUUACUUUGAAAAAAUUAGAGUGUUCAAAGCAGGCAAUCGCUUGAAUACAUUAGCAUGGAAUAAUAGAAUAGGACUUUGGUUCUAUUUUGUUGGUUUCUAGGACCGAGGUAAUGAUUAAUAGGGACAGUUGGGGGCAUUAGUAUUUAAUUGUCAGAGGUGAAAUUCUUGGAUUUAUGAAAGACUAACUACUGCGAAAGCAUUUGCCAAGGAUGUUUUCAUCG
rnacentral:rRNA from 1 species